GAGGGUAUAGCUCAGUAGUACAGUGUAUGCUUGGCAUGCAAGAGGUCCUGGGUUCAAGCCCCAGUAACCCCA
rnacentral:tRNA from 1 species